GGCUCUAUGGCCAAGUGGUAAGGCGUCGGUCUCGUAAACCGAAGAUCGCGGGUUCAAAUCCCGCUGGAGCCU